AGAUUGAACGCUGGCGGCAUGCCUAACACAUGCAAGUCGAACGGGAGUAGCAAUACUCUAGUGGCGGACGGGUGAGGAAUACGUAGGAAUUUGCCCUUAAGUGGGGGAUAACCCGGGGAAACCCGGAUUAAUACCGCAUGACCUCGAAAGAGCAAAGUGGGGGAUCGCAGGACCUCACGCUUUUGGAGAAGCCUACGUCGGAUUAGCUAGUUGGUGAGGUAAUGGCUCACCAAGGCGACGAUCCGUAACUGGUCUGAGAGGAUGAUCAGUCACACCGGAACUGAGACACGGUCCGGACUCCUACGGGAGCAGCAGUGGGGAAUAUUGGACAAUGGGCGCAAGCCUGAUCCAGCAAUGCCGCGUGUGUGAAGAAGGCCGUUCGGGUUGUAAG
rnacentral:rRNA from 1 species